AGUGAACGCUGGCGGUAGGCCUAACACAUGCAAGUCGAACGGCAGCACAGUAAGAGCUUGCUCUUACGGGUGGCGAGUGGCGGACGGGUGAGGAAUACAUCGGAAUCUACUUUUUCGUGGGGGAUAACGUAGGGAAACUUACGCUAAUACCGCAUACGACCUACGGGUGAAAGCAGGGGAUCUUCGGCCCUUGCGCGAUUGAAUGAGCCGAUGUCGGAUUAGCUAGUUGGCGGGGUAAAGGCCCACCAAGGCGACGAUCCGUAGCUGGUCUGAGAGGAUGAUCAGCCACACUGGAACUGAGACACGGUCCAGACUCCUACGAGAGGCAGCAGUGGGGAAUAUUGGACAAUGGGCGCAAGCCUGAUCCAGCCAUACCGCGUGGGUGAAGAAGGCCUUCGGGUUGUAAAGCCCUUUUGUUGGGAAAGAAAAGCAGCAGGUUAAUACCCCGCUGUUCUGACGGUACCCAAAGAAUAAGCACCGGCUAACUUCGUG
rnacentral:rRNA from 1 species